rnacentral:rRNA from 1 species
UACGGGGGGGAGCAAGCGUUGUUUCGGAUUUACUGGGCGUAAAGGGCGCGUAGGCGGCCAGCACAAGUCAGUUGUGAAAUCUCCGAGCUUAACUCGGAAAGGUCAACUGAUACUGUGCGGCUAGAGUGCAGAAGGGGCAACUGGAAUUCUUGGUGUAGCGGUGAAAUGCGUAGAUAUCUGGAGGAACACCGGUGGCGAAGGCGGCAUCCUGGACCGGCAUUGACGCUGAGGCGCGAAAGCCAGGGGAACAAACGGGGAUUAGAAACCCCUGG